GAUGAACGCUGGCGGCGUGCUUAACACAUGCAAGUCGAACGGGAUCCAAGGGGUGCUUGCACUUUUUGGUGAGAGUGGCGCACGGGUGAGUAACACGUGAGUAACCUGUCCUUUUCUUUGGGAUAAGCAUUCGAAAGGGUGUUUAAUACCUUAUGUUCUGUCUGCCUCGCAUGGGGUGGGUGGGAAAGGCUUUGGCCGGAUUUGGGUGGGCUCGCGGUCUAUCAGCUUGUUGGUGGGGUGAUGGCUUACCAAGGCUUUGACGGGUAGCCGGCCUGAGAGGGUGGUCGGUCACAUUGGGACUGAGAUACGGCCCAGACUCCUGCGGGAGGCAGCAGUGGGGGAUAUUGCACAAUGGGCGAAAGCCUGAUGCAGCGACGCCGCGUGGGGGAUGAAGGCCUUCGGGUUGUAAACUUCUUUUGCUCUGAACAAGGCAUGCCAGUGGGUGUGUUGAGUGUAGGGGUUGAUUAGCGCCGGCUAACUACGUG
rnacentral:rRNA from 1 species